UGGAGAGAAAUGAAAGAAUAAAGACUAAAGAAAAGGGCAAAACUGGAAUAGCCAGGGAAUAUUUGCUGCAUAUAUUGUUGAAUCCACUAAAUAUAAGUUUCCAGCAACCAGAGAGCCAGACUGAAUUAAAAAGAAACCACACCGAGUGUG